rnacentral:rRNA from 1 species
CCUGGCUCAGAACGAACGCUGGCGGCAUGCCUAACACAUGCAAGUCGAACGAGACCUUCGGGUCUAGUGGCGCACGGGUGCGUAACGCGUGGGAAUCUGCCCUUGGGUUCGGAACAACAGUUGGAAACGACUGCUAAUACCGGAUGAUGACUUCGGUCCAAAGAUUUAUCGCCCAGGGAUGAGCCCGCGUAGGAUUAGCUUGUUGGUGAGGUAAAAGCUCACCAAGGCGACGAUCCUUAGCUGGUCUGAGAGGAUGAUCAGCCACACUGGGACUGAGACACGGCCCAGACUCCUACGGGAGGCAGCAGUGGGGAAUAUUGGACAAUGGGCGAAAGCCUGAUCCAGCAAUGCCGCGUGAGUGAUGAAGGCCUUAGGGUUGUAAAGCUCUUUUACCCGGGAUGAUAAUGACAGUACCGGGAGAAUAAGCCCCGGCUAACUCCGUGCCAGCAGCCGCGGUAAUACGGAGGGGGCUAGCGUUGUUCGGAAUUACUGGGCGUAAAGCGCACGUAGGCGGCUUUGUAAGUUAGAGGUGAAAGCCCAGGGCUCAACCCUGGAAUUGCCUUUAAGACUGCAUCGCUUGAAUCAUGGAGAGGUGAGUGGAAUUCCGAGUGUAGAGGUGAAAUUCGUAGAUAUUCGGAAGAACACCAGUGGCGAA